UACGGCCCUAUCUCGUUCAAACACCGGUUCGCGUACGAUCACCAAAGUUAAGCAACGUUGAGCCUGGUCAGUACCUAGUUGGUGACCGCUUGGGAAUACCAGGUGCUGUAAG